rnacentral:tRNA from 1 species
GGGGAUGUAGCUCAGUGGUAGAGCGCUUGCCUAGCAAGCACAAGGCCCUGGGUUCGGUCCCCAGCUCCA